GAUGAAGAACGCAGUGAAAUGCGAUACGUAAUGUGAAUUGCAGAUUUCAGUGAAUCAUCGAAUCUUUGAACGCACAUUGCGCCCGCCAGUAUUCUGGCGGGCAUGCCUGUUCGAGCGUCAUUUCAACCAUCAAGCGCCUAGCUUGUGUUGGGGCCCUGCGGCUGCCGCAGGCCCCUAAAUCCAGUGGCGGGCUCGUCGUCGUACCGAGUGCAGUAAACAUCCUCGCUCAGGGAACCCGACGGGUGCCGGCCGUGAAACCCCCCCUCCUCAAGGUUGACCUCGGAUCAGGUAGGAAUACCCGCUGAACUUAAGCAUAUCAAUAAGCGGAGGAA
rnacentral:misc_RNA from 1 species